rnacentral:rRNA from 1 species
CCCUUAGAUGUUCUGGGCCGCACGCGCGCUACACUGACGAAUGCAACGAGCUUAUAACCUUGGCCGAAAGGUCUGGGUAAUCUCCAAAUUUCGUCGUGAUGGGGAUAGAUUAUUGCAAUUAUUAAUCUUCAACGGGGAAUGCCUAGUAAGCGCAAGUCAUCAGCUUGCGUUGAUUACGUCCCUGCCCUUUGUACACACCGCCCGUCGCUCCUACCGAUUGAAUGGUCCGGUGAAGCGUUCGGACCGUGGCCUUUGGACGGUUCGCCGUCUGUUGGCUGCGGGAAGUUCGUUAAACCUUAUCAUUUAGAGGAAGGAGAAGUCGUANCA